UCCUUCGGGGUGAGUGGCAGACGGGUGAGUAACGCGUGGGAACGUGCCCUUCAGUUCGGAAUAGCCCAGGGAAACUUGGGCUAAUACCGGAUACGUGCGAGAGCAGAAAGAUUUAUCGCUGAAGGAUCGGCCCGCGUCUGAUUAGCUAGUUGGUGGGGUAAUGGCCCACCAAGGCGACGAUCAGUAGCUGGUCUGAGAGGAUGAUCAGCCACAUUGGGACUGAGACACGGCCCAAACUCCUACGGGAGGCAGCAGUGGGGAAUAUUGGACAAUGGGCGCAAGCCUGAUCCAGCCAUGCCGCGUGAGUGAUGAAGGCCUUAGGGUUGUAAAGCUCUUUCGUCCGGGACGAUAAUGACGGUACCGGAAGAAGAAGCCCCGGCUAACUUCGUGCCAGCAGCCGCGGUAAUACGAAGGGGGCUAGCGUUGUUCGGAAUCACUGGGCGUAAAGGGCGCGUAGGCGGCUUUGUAAGUCGGGGGUGAAAGCCUGUGGCUCAACCACAGAAUUGCCUUCGAUACUGCGAGGCUUGAGACCGGAAGAGGUAAGUGGAACUGCGAGUGUAGAGGUGAAAUUCGUAGAUAUUCGCAAGAACACCAGUGGCGAAGGCGGCUUACUGGUCCGGUUCUGACGCUGAGGCGCGAAAGCGUGGGGAGCAAACAGGAUUAGAUACCCUGGUAGUCCACGCCGUAAACGAUGAAUGCCAGCCGUUGGCGAGCUUGCUCG
rnacentral:rRNA from 1 species